UAUAUACCACCUUAAAUCUGACUCCCCACGUGCGGAAGCAGCAGCAGCAGCAGCGGUACAGCAAUGGAGCGCGUGGAGCAGAUAAAGGAGCUGGAGCUUUACCGAUUUCGUCUGUUUCAUUAUUCAUAGUGAUGAGUCUUCUAAACUCAUGGACAAGUGGACAAGCUUCAUGGACAGGUGUCCUCAUGCCUGGAUGACCCAAUGGAGAAUCUGCAGGAAGGAUGAGUGCUGAUGUCCUGCAUGAUCAGCUGAAAGUGAAGCACAGAGUGGCUGCUCCAGUCGUCGGGAUGGCAGCAGACUCCUCCUAUUUUCCGACAUCUGGCUACCAGACCUGAAAGGGUUAUGCUCUCCUGGCUGCUGAGUAGAGUUGGAUCUUCCUGGAACUCCUGAUCUAAACUGCAGUUCAUCAGUUAGUAGCAGAAACCCGCUAAAGCCCGGCUAUGCUGAGAUUAAUCAGUGGGAGACUACAGCUGAUUUCAGUACUGGAGAGUUUAGAUGGUGUUGGGAAUUCCAGUAAGAGGAGGGAAGGGAAGUAAGAAGAUGUUUAGGUCACUGAGUCUGAGCUGAGUGUGGCAGUUAAACUGCUGUGUGUGUUGUAUCAACAUUGCAUGAUGAAUGGACCAAUAGAAAUGGUCACAGUGCUGGUAUGGGGGCCGAUUACACUGGAUUGGUUACACCACACACAAAGUAAGUGUAAAUGUACAUCAAGUGUGGGAGAUUCAAAGCUUUUCAGUGAGAUUGAAACUUGAAGUAAAAAGUACUUGCUUGAAAAAAAAAAAGUUUAUCACAACAAGCUCUCAUUAAAUGUGAUUAGCUUAAACAAUGCUGUUGCUAUUUUGCACAAACCUUGUAUCUACAAAAAAAUCUUGACUUUCAGUUAAAAAAAAGAAGAAUUGUUUUAAGUAAUUCUAGAGCAUUUCUGUUAGUCCACUUGACUAAGUACAAUUCAAUCUUUAUUCUGCGCUUCAUAACAUUUUAUCUUAUUGUCCAUACACUACACGACUUUGAAAUUUUUGCUGAGAUUUCCCAUCAUGCUUCUAGUGGAGUUUACAUACAAUACAUAUUAUACAAUAAAUUACAAGUACUGUGUAACGUUAUAUCACAUUAUAUCGAGGUUUUUUUUUUUUUUUUUUUUUUGAAGAGACUCACAAUUUGUCCCCAGCAACGGUUUCUUUUUUCUGCCACAGUUUAACUCUGCCUAUAAACUUCUCUACCCUUUUUUUUGCUACAACCUUGUUUCACUACUAUACAUUUGCCUUUGUUUUAGAUAGAAUUAAUGCAAAAAAGAACAUCAUUCUUGCAAAAUCUGUAUUUAUUAAACUUGUUUGUAUUAAAAAUAACACUGCACAAAUAACUGCAAAAUAAAAUAGCUGUACAUAUUAAAGUAAGAACCAUAUGAGACCUAUUAACUCCAAAAUGUGUUCUUUUUUUUUUUUUUUAAUUGUUUGUAAACAGUCACAUAAAAUAUAUUCUUGCCUCUUCCCGUAGCUCUCCUAUUAGUUUUUGAUAUUGUUGGAGUCACUACUUUCAGUCGUAACCACCUUACGCUUAACGAUUGAGAAGACUCGACUGCGGCUGGACUCUAGCAAGACUCUCAAUUUUAUCCUGACUCUGAGAAUUUGUCUGCGACUGAGAAAUCGCUUGAAAAUCAUUAGGUGUAAGGUUGGCAUUAGUCUAUGUAUGAGAAUUAUUGCAUAUUUGCGUAAAUGCGGUAAUGAGUUUUUUUUUUCUUUCAUUGUUGUACCGACUGUGUAAAUUUGGAUGGAUGAAUUGACAAACAAUAAACUCUAUUCAAAAUGUA